AUUGUUCAGAUUACACUCAUCAAUAAUUUUAACACUCAAAUCACAUCAAUACUCUGUCUUUGUGUUUGUAAACCUUCGUGGUGCUAAUGAAUUUACAAGCACACAAGUUGGUUAAUGAGGCACUAGCAUAGCCACUGUGGGGACUAGAGAAACUUGGAGACCCGACCUUGGCCUCCUGGAUCUCCGGGAAAUCUAAUUAGAUCCUCAGCCUCCCUCUAGCCUAUAGUCUCAGUCUUUAUCCUCUACUUUUCUUCACUCUGAUACUGAGCUGCUAAGUAUUUAAUAUUAAACUGAACAAAAUAUUGACACAACAGACUCCAGGGUGAGCCAUCCAAAACACACAGCAUGAAAGAAGGAAGCUUGGUGGGGGAGAUUCGCUGCUCCUGGGUCUUCAGACUGAGAAAGUGUCAGGCUUGAUGACAGUGAUGAAAAUGUGUUUUCUCUCUCCUUCUCUGAGCCUCAGCCCCAGGGCUCCUCUAAUUGACUGUGGUGGGCAUGGAUUACGUGUUCAGGGUGAGGGAGGCCCAGUGAAGUGACUUGGCACUCCUCUGCGACACACAUGGAGACUGCCAGGAAGCUGGGAGCUGGGGCACCGCUCGCCUUCCCGUAGGGCUGGCGUAGGACCGACGGGAGCUCCAGCCGGUGCACUCAUUCAUCAGGCCUUCUUCCAGAUUUUUAUGUGCUAUGACCCGCAAGUUUUGUCGAGUACCACCUCACUGGAAGCCCCGACAGUGGUUUCUGAGGUGAGGGAAUAGCACUCAAAUUGAGAAAACAUUCGGUUUGCCUCAGGCAACUGGAUUUAGGGGAGAAAAUGCCAAUCCCUUUCCCUUUGCCCGGGGAUUUUGGACAGCAUUUUUCCCUGAGGCCGAAAGGCAUGCUUUUCCCCCACCCUGACCAAAGUAGCUGUUUGCUAAAUAUUUCAGAGGGUGAUGAUGGUGUUUAAGAGCUGCCACAAUUCCAGUGUUUUUGGUUGCAAAACACCCCUGCCCUUUCUGCCAAGUGUAAGGUUACAGUUCAGGAAAAAGGAAAAUAUAAUGAAAACACCAAGUCAGAGACCUUCCCCCAAGGCAGUCCCUUAUCAUUUCUCUCUGUUGUGUGUGGGGCCCACAUUGCGGGUCUUCAUUCACACUCCUCCUCACCAACAACUUCAUGCUACUUAUUUAUUUAUGUAUUUUGAACUCAUUUUAGGAUUUAAAAACAUAGGUUAACCUCAAGGGGACAGAAUACACUUAUGCAAACUUCACUCAUUUCCCUAAAGGUUGCAUAUUUAUCUUGUAACAACAGAAAGAAAAGACUAAUUUUUACCCAUCUCCCUUUGAUUCAUAAAGCUAGAGCUUGCCAACAUAACAAUUGGUCACCCCUUGACUUCUAAGAUUUUAAAUUCUGACAGUGAAGAGAUUGAAAGAUGCUGGAAAGAUUUAAAAAACAUAGAACUGAAGCUCCCAGAGUAUUGAGAAUGCCUCUUACUUAAAAAGAGAAAGCGCAAAAUGGAUGAAAUGAAAACUCCUGGUACCCAGCUCUGAACUUACAGGCUCAAACCAUUCCCCCUCCCUGAGUUUUCCCACUGUGAUCAAAACCAUAGCAGUAGGAGCCGUGGAAAUUUAGAAACAAUAGCCAUUGCCAUUUAUAUUUAAAUAGCUAGGAGAAGACAGUAUGUGCAAUGGAGCUGAAUUAGUCACAAGGGAAGAGUGUUUCUCUCCAUAGAAAUAUAGCUUUCAUGACCAUUGCUUAUGAGCUAUGGAAUUAAGUGGUGUGUUAUAUUGAGAAGCAAGAUGCUGACAUGCUUUUUGAUAUUUAGCAGAUCACCCUAUGUCCUCUGCUUGGAGAAAUAAUGAGAACGCCCUUUCCUUUGCCAGCAUUUGCCUCUUUUUUAUACUAAUCUCAGCUGAAUUGAACAAUUUCUCUACUCUGUACAAAAUAAAGCUCCUCUUUGUAUUCACUUGAUAUACAACUUGAGGGCAUCCAAUUUUUGCAAAUACAGAUCUGGGAAUAUCUGAAAUGAUUUAGGCACAGAUUUGUGGGAUUGGUCAAAGAACAAAAACCCAUUAAGUGAUUAAUGCUUUGUUUUAAGGUGAAAUUGUCAUUCUUGCAGUUAUCUAAAACUUCAACAAUACUAAGGCCAGAGUGAUGUAACAUAUAUUUACUUUAAAUGUUGAAUAGAUUUUAUUAAUUACCUUGCCUUGGCUUUCGAAUUGCUUAGAGGAUGAUUAUUCAAAAGACAAAUAAAUGUAGAAUGAAGUCAUGCCACUGUGUUUUUCAUGCAGUGAUGAUUUUGACCCUGGAGUGAAGCUGGGGGGAAUUCUUUGUUGUCCCAGUUCAAUCUCUGAAUUAAGACUGCAUUUAAUCAAAUGGUAUGAAUUUAACCCCAGGUGGCAUUCAGACAGUAGAAUUUGUUUUAGGUACUUUAGAAUUUGUUUCCUUUUAAUACAUGAGCAAUCGAAAUUGUUUGCAAAUUUCCUCUUAUUGAUUAAAUGAGAUGUCCUAAAGUUUAAAAUGUAAGAACCUGAAAUACAAGUUAGAAAAUGGAAGGUUUGGGGAUAUAAUCUUUCCAUUCAACAAGUAUUUAAUGAGUUCUCAUCACUGGCUUUUCCUGUUAAUACCCAACCCCCUACUUCAUGUUGGGUGCAUACACACAGACACCACACACACACACACACACACACACACACACACACACACACACACACACCUUUUUCUCUCUUUUCCCUCUCUCUCUCUUUACAUAAACUAAGUUCUUUUUACCCUCUAGAAAGCAUCUUGGCAUGGCUAGGAAUAAGGGAGCUAUCCUUUUUUUUCCCCAGAGGACAAAUUAAACUUGUCCCAAAGAACAAAUUUACUUGAGACAAAUAUAAAAUAAGUGUCUUGCCUUUGAGAGAUUUUCAGCAAGUUUUGGGAGCGACAUCAUCAAUGGAAAAAUGAGCCUGAAGUCUUUGAAAUUAUCUUUCCUGCAAGGAUAAAGUAAAGCCAAAAAAAAAAAUUGUCCUUACAAGUUGUGAAAAAACAGUUGCUUAUGGGUAUUAUUACUAGCAGCCAAGAUGGGUAGUCUUAAAUUUAAAUGUUUAAAAUAUUAAAUACUUUAUUCAAUAUUUAUGUUAUUAUGUUGUAAUGUUAAUAUUUUUAUUAAAUAUUAAUAUUUAAUAUCAAAAUAUUAAAAUUCAAAUGUUUAAUCAUAUUUAAUAUUUAAAUGUUAAAGAAAUAUCCCCUAAUUUAUCAGUUUGGCACCUUUUUUCCACUUAGCUGUAAGAGUUGGUUGACAGUCAUUUCUAUGCUCUUUGUAUUUUCCCCUAUGUAAGUACUUUUAAAUUCAUACUUCUUUUGCUGUGUGCUUUGAUUAUGGACUUGGCAUUGACCAUUGAAAUGCUGGAGAUGUCUUUUAUUAGUCUGGGAGAAUGCAUCACUUAACGUCAUAGGUUUCAUUGAGUUGAUUCAAACCUAGGCCUUUGCAGUUUAUGAAACAACUGCUCAUAUCUAUUUCUAGAGUCAUAUGUUUGUUUAUAACUGCUUUAUUUAUAAUUGCCAAAAAUUGGAAUAAACCAAAUUGUUCUUUAAUGGGUGGAUGGAUAAACAUACAUACAAUGAAAUUUUUUGUUAACUAUUAUUUUAAGUUCAGGGGUACUUGUGCAGGAUGUGCAGCUUUGUUACGUAGGUAAACGUGUGCCAUCCAUGUCGGCUCACUGCACAGAUCAUCCCUUCACCUUGGUAUUAAAUCCAGCAUCCAUUCACUGUUCUUCCUGA
rnacentral:lncRNA from 1 species